rnacentral:rRNA from 1 species
AUUGAACGCUGGCGGCAGGCCUAACACAUGCAAGUCGAACGGUAACAGGAAGCAGCUUGCUGCUUCGCUGACGAGUGGCGGACGGGUGAGUAAUGUCUGGGAAGCUGCCUGAUGGAGGGGGAUAACUACUGGAAACGGUAGCUAAUACCGCAUAAUGUCGCAAGACCAAAGAGGGGGACCUUCGGGCCUCUUGCCAUCGGAUGUGCCCAGAUGGGAUUAGCUUGUUGGUGGGGUAACGGCUCACCAAGGCGACGAUCCCUAGCUGGUCUGAGAGGAUGACCAGCCACACUGGAACUGAGACACGGUCCAGACUCCUACGGGAGGCAGCAGUGGGGAAUAUUGCACAAUGGGCGCAAGCCUGAUGCAGCCAUGCCGCGUGUAUGAAGAAGGCCUUCGGGUUGUAAAGUACUUUCAGCGGGGAGGAGGGGAGUAAAGUUAAUACCUUUGCUCAUUGACGCUACCCGCAGAAGAAGCACCGGCUAACUCCGUG